rnacentral:rRNA from 1 species
GACGUAGGUGGCGAGCGUUGUCCGGAUUUAUUGGGUUUAAAGGGUGCGUAGGCGGCCCUAUAAGUCAGUGGUGAAAUAUCGCAGCUUAACUGUGAGGGUGCCAUUGAUACUGUAGGGCUUGAGUGAAUUUGAGGUAGGCGGAAUUGACGGUGUAGCGGUGAAAUGCUUAGAUAUCGUCAAGAACACCGAUAGUGAAGACAGCUUACCAAGCUUCAACUGACGCUGAGGCACGAAAGUGUGGGGAUCAAACAGG